GAUUACGGACGUCAGUCCACAGGAAAGCGUCGUGUGUUGUAGCAGUCAUCCAGUAAAUCUUUCUGAAUCUUCCCGAGCGCCGUUCCCUUCUGAGCCGUGCCUUUUCGCCAGCGUCAAGAGGGUGCUAUUAUGAAGAUCAAGUACGUGCUGCUCUGCCUGGCUCUUCUGCUCGCCUUGUCUGCCACCGAUGGACGCAGGACAGUGAUAGAUAUGAAGCAGUCGAGCGUCCUUCUCUGUAGAGGAAAGUGUUCCAGAUGGACAAAACAUGGAGAGUGCGAUGUGGAUGCCUUCUGUGCUUUCAGUGGUGGCUUCAGAUCCUGGCAUCCUCCUCAGUAGUGACGACAUCGCACAUCCUAAUGUGGUGAAGAGGAAUGUGCAUUAUCAACAUUGUAUAUAGUUAGAGGAGAGUCUUUGGGGACAGAGAGAGAAACAAAAAACAGGCAAACAGAAAAACGGAUAUAUGUUCUGACUUCAAAGUAGAAAUAUACGUGUAUUCAUUUGGAAGUAGUUUUUAAAAGGAGGCCCAUUAAGAUCAUCAUGCACGUAAAACAACGGUUUGUUAAAAUUGUAGUGACCGAGUAAUAAUAAAGAGCUAAAAGCUCCUGAUCUUGAA